AUCUCCACAUAGCACUCGGGCUGUGCUACUUUACGUCCCAACUGCGGAUCUCUGAUGGGACAGCUGGGAGGGUGGGCUGUGGGCCUGCAGCAGGGCUGUCUGCUACCUGCUUGGUGCCAAAGUCCACUUACUCGUCUGAGAUGGGGCAUCUGUCAGCCAAGAUGGAAGCAGGGUGACGAUGCCGAGGCCACACACGUGGCCCCUGGAAACGAAAGAAUCCAUAUGGGAUUUGGAUUUGACGGGGCCUGUGUAAGAAUCCUAACUGCACCCUUAGCUGAUGAACAAGCUGUGAGGCCUCGUGAAAGAAAGUCUCAGAACCUCUUCCCUCCUCGUCUGCAACGGGCACCGUGGUUCCUCCAUGAGACAGUGCUGUGAGGGUGGGUGCCCAGCUGUGUGUGCAGCGUGUGUGCCAGGCUGAGCAGCUGGCACAGGGUGGGCAGUUCAGUGAGAUUAAGUACCUUCACAUUGUUGUACAAUCACCACCACCGUUCGUCUCCACAUCUUUUGCAACAUUCCUGUACUCGUGAAAUAAUAACUCCCCCUCUCCUUUCACCCAGCCUUGGUAACCUCUAAUAUUUCCUGUUUCUGUGAAUUUGACUGUUCUAGGUAAACUCAUGUAUGUGGAAUCAUACAAUACUUGUCCUUUUGUGUUUGGCUUAUUUUACUGAGAAUAAUGUCUUCAGGGUGCAUCCGUGCUGUGACAUGUGUCAGAAUUUCAUUUGUUUUUAAGGCUGAAUAAUAUUCCAUUGCUUGUAUGUACCACAUUCUGCUUAUCCAUUUGUCCAUCAAUGAUCAUUUGCGUUGUUUCCACAUUUUGGCUGUUGUGAAUAAUACCGCCAUGAACGUGGGUGUGCCAUUAUCUGUUUGAGUUCCUGCUUUCAAUUUUUUGGAUAUAUACCUAGAAGUGGAAUUACUGGAUUGAUGGUAAUUCUACAUUUCCUUUUUUGAGGGACCACCAUACUAACCCUUUUUAAAGCUUUCCCAGUGGAAGGGCAGUGCUGCAGGGGUGGUGUCUGAUGAGAAUAGAUGCUCUGGGCCUUUCCAGAGUUAGGGCUGGGGGCUGGGGGUGGACCCUGGAGCUGGCACAGGGCACCCCUUGGCAGUUCAGCACUGCCCUCCACCAAAUGGGACCCGUUUUACACUAAGCCCUGGGAGAAAGGAAGCCCUAGCUCUGUUCACCAUGGAUGGACAGAGAUCGUUUUGCUUCUUAUGAUUAAACACCACCUAAGUCCCCCACCCCAUCUAUGCACACAUCAACUCCAGAUUUGGUUCAGAAAGGUGACUUAAGAAGUUUGAAGAUGUUGUGAUUAAAUGCAUGGGCUUUGGUGCCAGUUCAAAUUCUGGUUU